rnacentral:rRNA from 1 species
GACGAACGCUGGCGGCGUGCUUAACACAUGCAAGUCGAGCGGUAAGGCCCUUUCGGGGGUACGACGAGCGGCGAACGGGUGAGUAACACGCGGGUGACCUGCCCUCAGCUCUGGGAUAAGCCUGGGAAACCGGGUCUAAUACUGGAUAUGACUCCAUGACGCAUGUUGUGGGGUGGAAAGCCUUGUGCGGCUGAGGAUGGGCCCGCGGCCUAUCAGCUUGUUGGUGGGGUGGUGGCCUACCAAGGCGA